AACUAUUGAGUAUACUGGUAUUUGCUGCUUUUACAGGUUGAGAAAGCGCAUGAUGCUGAUCUUCAUUGUGUUGACUGGAAUCCUCAUAAUGACAAUCUUAUCAUAACCGGAUCCGCUGAUAAUUCGGUGCGCUUGUUUGACCGGCGAAAUUUAACUUCGGAUGGGUUUGGAUCACCGGUCCAUAAGUUUGAACAUCACACAGCUGCAGUUCUCUGUGUUCAGUGGUGUCCUGAUAGGGCUUCUGUGUUUGGGAGCUCCGCAGAGGAUGGUCUCUUAAAUAUUUGGGACUACGAGAAGGUUGGUGAAACAACAGACACUGAAGCG